rnacentral:rRNA from 1 species
UACAGAGGGGGCGAGCGUUGUUCGGAAUUACUGGGCGUAAAGGGCGCGUAGGCGGCCCGCUAAGUCGAACGUGAAAUCCCCAGGCUCAACCUGGGAACUGCGUCCGAUACUGGCAGGCUUGAAUCCGGGAGAGGGAUGUGGAAUUCCAGGUGUAGCGGUGAAAUGCGUAGAUAUUGGGAGGAACACCAGUGGCGAAGGCGGCUCACUGGACCGGAACUGACGCUGAGGCGCGAAAGCGUGGGGAGCAAACAGG